CGGCUCAGAUUGAACGCUGGCGGCAGGCCUAACACAUGCAAGUCGAGCGGUAGAGAGAAGCUUGCUUCUCUUGAGAGCGGCGGACGGGUGAGUAAUGCCUAGGAAUCUGCCUGGUAGUGGGGGAUAACGUUCGGAAACGGACGCUAAUACCGCAUACGUCCUACGGGAGAAAGCAGGGGACCUUCGGGCCUUGCGCUAUCAGAUGAGCCUAGGUCGGAUUAGCUAGUUGGUGAGGUAAUGGCUCACCAAGGCGACGAUCCGUAACUGGUCUGAGAGGAUGAUCAGUCACACUGGAACUGAGACACGGUCCAGA
rnacentral:rRNA from 1 species